rnacentral:pre_miRNA from 1 species
UGAUGAUGAUGAUGAUGAUGACGAUGGUGAAGACAACGACGACGAAGAUUAGGAUGAUGAUUAUCAUCAUCAUCAUCAUCGUCGUCGUCGUCGUCGUCAUCAUCAUCAUCAUCAUCGUCA